ensembl:lncRNA
GAAAGAGGUUCUGCUCCGUGCAUCUCUGAGUGCCUUCCUGAGGCUGAUGGGACACUCCCUCACCGGUCUACCUGAGCCUACAACUUCUCCAGGGCCGACCUAUGUUCCUCUCCCCUGCACCAAAGGACUACAUGUGUGAGGGGCCGUGUUACAAGUGGAAGCUCCGAAAGGCGACUCUGCUUCUGUGCCGGGUUUAUCACCGUUGCCCGGAGCCACCGGCUCCCCACCCCCACCCUGUGCAAAUACACAGCGGAUCGCAGGCAACAGCCAGACUGUGGGAAGGACUGGUGAGCGCCUGGAGAGGAGCUCCUGUACCUGGGAGGCAGGACCUCGGUAUGAAGCCAUUAGGCUGAAGGCGGAGCUUAGUGGCACAGAAGGCAGAACCUGGGUGUGGAGAAAUAGACUGAAGGCGGGGCUGGGCUGGCGAGAGGCGGAGCCCCGGAGAGAAGCAACAGAAAUGAGGGCGGAUCUUAGAAACGAUGAAGGCGGAGCCCAGGAAGAAGACUGGACUCACUUUCCUGUGUUUGACAGCACAUUUGUGUCCUAUUCAGGGAACAGAGAUGGUAUUUGGCAAAGUUGUUUGACCAAGCACAAGGUAGAUAAUAGUCAUUUGCUCCCAGCACGACUGACUCCGGAUCUGUGGGCUCAGAGCAGUAAUGUUGCAGAUGGAAAAAGAACUGAAGAGAGACGCACACACAUGCACCCCAGGACACAGGUUUGGUUCCCAGAACCUGGGGACCAGAUGGUGGCUACCCAUAAUUCCAGUUCCAAGGGAUCCAGCACCCUCUUCUGACUUCUGAGGUGCUGAGCACUGAACGCAUGGCCUCACACAUGGUGAGGGGGUCAGCUCUCCCAUCUUCCACCGAGCUUCGGUUUUUCAGCCAUCUCUCCAGCUCAUGUGAUGCUCGUUGGAAAAGCACACACAUCAAACAUUUGAAAAUAGACACCACUCAUCUUUGGCAACAACAAGGUUCAGAAGAUCCUCCGGAGGAUCUUCUGUCCUCAAGGAAUUGUUAGAGACUUCUACUUACAGAAAAAGCAAGGACAGCUGGUUAAGAUAAAAACAUACUCCUGCAGAGCAGGCGGGCUGAAGGAAAUAGAGAACAUAGAGGGGAAAGUACCCUACUGUAAGGCCCUGGACUCUUGCCUUGUGCCCACCUUAAUGGAGCUCAUCUUAAUAGGGCUCUGGGUGUAACUUGGGUCCUCACACUUAGUACUUUGCCAACUGAGACAUUCCCCCAACUCUGUGUUGUCUUUUCUAUACGUCCUCAAGCUGCUAUAGACAAAAGAGAAUUGAGACAUUUGUCUCUCCCUAAAUCUGGGCAUAACUAUUAAGACACUGUUUCCCUUUCCAGUGUCAGUCUACGUCUGUGGUAGUGGUGAGCAGUGGACUGAGUACCCAUUUACCAUAAUAUAGAGUAGAUUCAUUGACAAGUGCCACUGUGUACAUCAAUUUGUUUGUCCAUCACUACCACUCUACAGCUCAGCUGGACCCUGCCCAACUCAGCUGCCCAUAUAUUCUGCUCUGUGAAACACUUUAAUUCCAUUGCAGAGGCUAAGAACAGAAUAACAAUCAUGGAUGUGUACAAUGUAUCCAAGGCUUAGGGGUGUUGAGUCAUGCCCUCAACACCUGCUUUUCGACCGACCUACCCCUUACAGCCCCCAACAAUUCAGGUUUCAUUACUAUGCCAUAAAAGAAACAGGAGACACCAGAUCUCAUGAAAUGUGUAAAUAACUUUAAACUUUAUUGAGUAAAAAUUGCAAAAACACAACCAUAAUAUAAUUAAUAGAAAAGUUAAAUACAAACUACCACAUGUAAAAUAGGUUAUUGUAAAACUGGUGGUAUCAACCCUAAAUACUACACCCCGAACUUAUACAUUGGGAAUGUUAAUCUAAUGAAGAACAUCUCAAGUUCAUCUUAAUAUAGACCAAAAUUUUUUAAGAAAAAAAUUUUAAAUUAAAUAGAACUUUUCAAAUGAACAGUUCAAUCCAACCCUAGAUGGGGCCUGAGAUAAAAAAUGGCCAUUUGCCAUUGUAUUUUCUUCACAUCAACUUCCAAAUCUAAUGCAGAUCUGGGAAAGAAUCAGUCUUUAAAUGACCAUGAUGCUUUUCUUCAUAGUCCUGGAUGAGCAGGCAGUAGUUGGGCCAAAGUUCUCUACCCUGUACUAGUCAGUCAGUAGAGUAUGGUGGUUCAGAACAGCCCAGGUCUGGGCAACCCGUUUUCAUUUCUUAAACUAUUUUCAAGCUUAAAAAAGCCCAAAAUAUUAAAAAAGCACCACCACUACUCCCAACUUCAAUUUAACAGCAUCCAACUCCAGCAUUAGAGAUGCUACUGAACAGCUCCAGCUUCUUCCUGCUGAUGUCCCUCCUGACCUGCAGCAGGGGAUGACAGGAGGAGGGCAUUCCUUUUGGGAAUAGUUCAAACAAGGACUAGAGGAUUGGAAAAUGAUAAUGGCCAAGGAUUUCAAGUGAGUUAGGGAAAAUAAUCAGUGGGGUAGGUUCAUGAAGGUAAAAAAAAAAAUAAGAAAAUGAAAAAAACCAAAACAAAACCAAAAAAAUACUUACCAAACGAAAAGGGGGACAAGAAGCAAAAAACGAAUAAAUUAAUAAAACUAAAACCUAAAACCCAAACAAACAAAAAACAAAGCCAAAAACAUACACAAAAAUGCAGAAAAGCAACAACACACAAAAGAAAAACACAAACAAAAGCCCCAAAAAACAAAAAAGGAAAACAAAUCUCAAAAUAAAACAAAACCAAAAACCCAAACACAAACACAAAAAACAAAACCACACAAAAACCCAACACAACAAAAAACCAAACCAAACACACAAAUACAAACAAAAACAAAAAAUAAGAAAAAACAAAACCAAAAACACAAACACACAAAAAAGCAAAACAACAAAAAACAAAAGCAAAACCACACAAAAACAAAACAGCAUGAAACAAAAUAAAAAACAAAACCAAAAACAAAACAAAGAACAAAAUAAAAAAAAACCAAAAACACAAACAAAAACAAACAACAAAAAACAAAAUAAAAAACACACAAAAUAAAACAUCAAAAACAAAAACAAAACCACAAAAAAGAAAACAACUAAAAAACAAAACAAAAACAGGCAAAAGCAAAACGACAUAAAGAAAACAAAAACCACAAACAAUAACAAAAAACCCCAAAACAAUGAAAAAGAUAUUACAAAAACAAACAAACAAACAAAAAAACAAAAACAAAAACACCAAUUCGUUGACUAAAUCCAGCAUUAAAAUAGUAUUUCUUGAUCACGUGGUUCUGACUGCGUUGGACAGUGGCAGUUUCUAAGCUGGCGGUAGUUACAUGCAUUCUAGAGAUGGCAUUAGGGCGGCAGACACACACCCCACGUUAAGACAAUAUUGAAGAGAGUGGGCUCCAUCCGGUCAGACAGCUCAGUACCUGUUUAAAGUCUCUUCAACUCAUCCCACUUGAGGUAUAUUAGAAACAUGGAUGGAAACAGACAGGGCGGGAGCCAUAGCGACCAGGUGGAUGCUGUUACAGUAAGUGACUGUGCAGGAUUUCCCACACCAUCCUCUUCCUGAAGAGGGGCAUGUGUUGCUGAGAAAAGGUCAC